CCUACGGGGGGCUGCAGUAGGGAAUAUUGCAAAUGGGCGAAAGCCUGAUGUAGCAACGCCGCGUGUGCGAUGAAGGUCUUCGGAUUGUAAAGCACUUUUUGGAGGGAUGAGGAAGGACAGUACCUCCAGAAUAAGCCUCGGCUAACUACGUGCCAGCAGCCGCGGUAACAAGUAGGAGGCAAGCGUUAUUCGGAUUUACUGGGCGUAAAGCGCGUGCAGGCGGUUUGGAAAGUUGGAUGUGAAAGCUCCUGGCUCAACUGGGAGAGGUCGUUCAAAACUGCCAGACUUGAGAGUGGUAGAGGGAGGUGGAAUUCCGGGUGUAGUGGUGAAAUGCGUAGAUAUCCGGAGGAACACCAGUGGCGAAAGCGGCCUCCUGGACCACUUCUGACGCUCAGACGCGAAAGCUAGGGUAGCAAACGGGAUUAGAUACCCCAGUAGUC
rnacentral:rRNA from 1 species